rnacentral:rRNA from 1 species
ACUACGGGUGGCAGCAGUGGGGAAUAUUGCACAAUGGGGGAAACCCUGAUGCAGCAACGCCGCGUGAGUGAGGAAGUAUUUGGGUAUGGAAAGCUCUAUCAGCAGGGAAAAGAAAAGAAGGUACCGGAAAAAGAAGCACCGGCGAACUAAGAGCCAGCAGACGCGGUAAUACGUAGGGGGCAAGCGUGAUCCGGAUGUACUGGGUGUAAAGGGAGCGUAGACGGAAAGGUAAGGCACAGGUGAAAGUCCAAGGCUCAAACAUGGGACCGCUUUUGAAAAUGGCAAACUAGAGUACGUGAGAGGUAAGCGGAAUGCCUGGUGUAGCGGUGAAAUGCGUAGAUAUUAGGAGGAACACC